UUAACUCAAAUUUGUAUGGAAUGUGAUCGUUCGCCUACGUUUGCCGCUAGGGGCGCUGUCCAACUGCAUACAAAAUUGGGCUA
rnacentral:pre_miRNA from 1 species